rnacentral:rRNA from 1 species
CCCAAGAGAUCGGGAUAACACCUGGAAACAGAUGCUAAUACCGGAUAACAACAGAUGAUGCCUAUCAACUGCUAAAAGAUGGUUCUGCUAUCACUCUUGGAUGGACCUGCGGUGCAUUAGCUAGUUGGUAGGGUAACGGCCUACCAAGGCGAUGAUGCAUAGCCGAGUUGAGAGACUGAUCGGCCACAUUGGGACUGAGACACGGCCCAAACUCCUACGGGAGGCAGCAG